UCAGAAAUUACAUCAGACAAAAGGAAAAGUAGAAGGACAAACUACUGGAAUUACUGGUCUUUGCAAGGAAUUGUGGGUAGUAAUCCAGCACACUUGACUGAAGCUUCAACAUGCAACACAAAAGAGGCAAACCAGAGUAGUCAACUUGUCAUCAUAUACAGAUCUUGGCAAUCCACACUGCAGCAUGGAAACAAAGUCAACAGGCAUAAUAGAGCAGAGUUAUAUCCACAAGCUAAGGCAACACAAUACUUACAUGCAGCAGUAGAUCAUAGGGAAAGGAUAUGCAACAAUUCUAGGAAACCAGAAGGAAAUUCCAUGAACAAGCAAUGGCAUGAUAAAACUGGAAAAACAACGCUCAGAUCUUGGCAGUCCAAAAUUCACCAGCGUAACAAAAGCAGCUGCUAUAAUAGAACAGUGCUAGGCACAAAGACAUCACAAUAGUCACAUGCAGUGGGAGAUAACAAAUUCAGACACACAAGAGAUCACAAGAUAAAGUAGCACAACAAUGCGAUGAACUCAGCAGGGAAUUCAAUGAACAAACAAGGUAAAUUUGGAAUAAGAAAGAGGGUCAAAGGGAGAUACUGGGUAAACGUUACUUCCUAUGGUAAAUACAGAGAUGAGCAAAUAGAAACAGUAUAUACAAGGAAGAGUUUAGCUACACAAAUGAGCUAUAAAGGUGGAUAUACAUACAGUCACACGUGAAGCCUAAAAUUGGGUCGUAUUUGGACUAUUUUUGCAAGAUGUGUAAAUGGACAUAUUUUGGACAAAAAUGGCUACAGCUUUAACAUGUAUACAUCGCAAUGGGCAUGGAAUGGCUACAACAAAUGGGCUAAAUUGAGAUGUAUCGAGAUUACAGUUAUAAAGGCAAAUAAUGUUGGAUACAAAUACAUACAUAUGGAUUGGGGUGCUAAGAAAAAGACUGUUGCAUGAACGUCAUGGGCUAGUUUAUAUACAAAGUCUAUUAGUUUUCUCUUUGUGAUAUCAACUUUGAGUACACUACUCAAUUUUGAUAACAUGGCUUAUGUAUUGUACAUAGUUUAUUACAUUCAUUUCGUAGGUCUUCAUGACAAUUAUUGUUUUAUUAUUUUUAUAGAUAAAUAAAAACUAGCCCUAGGCUACGCCUAGUGGAUUGCCAAAAAAAAAGUAAAUAAACAUUCCUACUAGGGAUCUGGCAUGAGGUUACAUUAUUCUAAGUUUAAACCUUGGGUUAUGUUCUAGAUCUGGCUUACCCUAGCGAACAAACUCGAGCCGAAGAUGGGGCAACAUACCGGGAGCAAGAAAGUCUGUCCGCCCUUGUUAUUGGUCCAGCCUCGCUCUAUUUGGUAUAACUUCUAACAGAAAAGUGGGCCAUAUGAAUGUGUGCACCAUUUUUUAGAAGACUCAUGGAGAAGAGGGUUUCGUAACAAUUUAUAUACAAUUUAAAUAAUAUCAAAGCGAGUAAAAAUUGGCAUUUAGCAUAUUAAGUACACAAAAUAAAGUAAUAUCAACAAUAAAUAAAGCCAAAUAAAAAUCACAUUAACAAGAUCGAAUUCUUGAACCCUGAAUCGGAAGUUCUGGGUUCUUGUCCCCAGCAGAGUCGCCAGAGCUGUCACACCUCCUUUUUACACCCGAGGGUAUAUAAGGGAGUUUUUCCAAUUAAAGUGACAUCAAUCGAAAUAAAAUUAUUUUAUUUAAUUAUUAGUGUCGUCACUUGAAAUAGUUUAUUAUGGUGUCCCAAGUCACAGGUUCAUUUUAAAUCCCAAAUCAAGGAAAUUUUUCGACAUUAUUUAAAAGUCUGCAAACCAGAAAUUCUAGAUAAGGAAUUCUGUUAACCUGGGAUAAGGUGUUAGACAUUCUCGGGUUCCGUGGUUCUAGCACAGUCGCUUAGCGAUUUAUACUUGGCUUAAAUUGUUUAACUACUCAUUUUAGGACCUAUGUGCAUUUAUCUUUUUACCGCUUUCAAUUACUUCAUUAUUCGUAAUCUUGAAAUUAUCUUAAAAGGAGUUACGCGUACGUGUACUCAUUUCGUUUGGCGCGUCAAAAAUCAUAUCAUGCGUACGUGUCCAUCAUUAAUAAUCCUUUAUUAUUAUUAACAAAUUUUAGUCAAAGUUGCGAACGCAUACUUCAAUUCUGUUUUAAAAUCGCAAUUAUGUCAGCGAACGUGUCAACAAUCACGACGAUAAGUUAUACAUGCCUAGAACAAACUAGGAAUAUUCAUAAGUUGAUUAUUUUUCCUAAGAUUUCACAUCCAACAAUUGAAGCCCAAAAUUCAUUCUUUCGGCUAAAUGAAAUUGUAGCCCAUUUAAUUUAAAUCAUGGCAGGUCCGAAUCUUCUCUAUUUUAAAUUAAUGUCUCAAUAUUAGACUUCAAAUGAUCCAUUAACAUUAAAGCAAGUUUCACAGCCCAUUAGUUAUCUAAAUUAGAGUUAGCUCAAAAUACUAAUUCCGGUUAAGUGUUGGCUUUCCCUUAUUUUAAUUUCGAAGCAGCAAUACCCAAAAUUAUCACACUAGAUAUUAUUCAGCAUAUAACAAACAAGAAGAUUUCACAUAUGAAUGUUCAAAACAUGAUUGAAUAUUCGACAAUAGAAAUGAACGAACAAUGAUAUAAGCAUGCAAGAAACUACGGUCUCAUUUCAUAAUCACGCUCAUAACCCAUUUUAUUUAGCCUUGUCCUCACCCAUGAUCAUUAACUCUUGUGCAAAGUUGAUUAUAAAGAGAACAAACUCCCAUUUUCGGAAGUGUAACCUCAUUGCAAAAGAAGGGAUGAUUUGAAGGAUUAAUUAAUCCAAAGAAAGCAGAAAAGAAAUUGGUACAAGAGGAAUUUCAAAUUUUCACUGAAGAAACAGCUAAUUCAACAACCAAAUCCAAACAGCAGUAACAGCUAAAGACAAGCAGUCAUAAUUCACAUUAAACCAAAUUUGGAUAAUAUAGACAUAAGAAAAACAUGCCCACUUAUGAUAUAAUGGAUUGUAGAAGAAAGGAUAACUCAAAUAAAGGCCCAAACCGGCAAGUUGAAGCUCAAGCAAAUUUGAACAACGAGCCUCCAAAGAGAGCUUAGCCGAACAUAUUCAAAUAGAGCUAAAUAAUCAGAUCUUCAUAUGCAAAAUUUGGAACGCAAAAUUCAUCUAGUAAUGAGAAAUUUCCUUUCAGAAUUAAAUUAAUACAGCAACUUAGUCGAGCGAGAUUCGAGUCUAAAAUUUGAACGAGAGGACGACAGCAAAUCAGACUCGGAACCACGAACCUCGUUGUUGAACAAACACCUUUGAACCACGAUACAACAAUAGAGUUUCAAACAAAAUCCAUGAGUGAAAUUUGAAGGCAAAAACAAUUAUUUUACUCUCUAUGUGUCUGUGUCUGUGCAGCGUCAGAAUUGAGAGGGAAUGGAGGAUUUUGCCAAAUUUCCGGCGAGCUUGUCGACUGCUUUCAGGGAGAUGAGGGGUGGGCGAUGGUUGUUUCUCCGGUGAGUUUGGGUUGAGUUGCUAUUGUUGAAGAAGAAGAACCGGAGGGGUCUAUGGUUUGGUUAAGAAGAUGAAGAAAUUGGUU
rnacentral:lncRNA from 1 species